AUAGCACCAAUAGUUUGAUGCUAUUGAUAGUAUUCCAGCCUAGUUAUAUAUAUAAUAUAUAUAUAUAUAUAUAUAUAUAUAUAUGAGUCCGGCUACUAUGCUAUUAAUAGCACGAAGCAUUUUGUGCUACCAAGUUUUCCACCGUUAGAUCUAUCCUUUUGAUCAUUUUCAUCCGUUAAAUCAUACUAUUCAACCAACCACCCACUCAACCCUAGGGGGCCCACGUCAUCCUAACCACACAUCUCUUAAUCCAAUGGCCAAAAAUUUAAUAGCACCAAUAACUUGGUGCUAUUAAUAGCAUAGUAGCCUAGUUAUAUAUAUAUAUAUAUAGUUGAGCUAGAAUACUAUCGGUAGUAAACGAGCCGUUUUACUACCGAUUUGUUUUCGAUGAUAGAACUUCCAAAUUGACGAUCGGCUCCGUUGAACAUAAUCUAUACCACUUGAAGUCAUUAAAAAUCAAAUUUCAUAUCUUUUCGACAUCAUUUGCCUAAUGAUCAAAGGGUUGCAAAAUUUGUAAUUUUAAUGGUCGAUAAGAGACAAACUCUCGUUUAACGGUGUAAAGAUAUCCAAAUCAAUUGAAUUUUUGUUAGAAAAUUUUUUAAACUAUUUAAAACAAGAUCUAUACUCUUGAUCUUGAUUACAAGACUGCUAUCAUCAUUUUUUAAAGAGUAUUUAUUUUCAGCCAUUCAUUUUUCUGUUCACUUGAUGAAUAAAAGAAUAAUAUCGAAAGUGCGUGAAAUUUGAUUUCUAUGUAGUUUAAAUAGUUUAGAUCAUAUUUAACGGAGCCGAUCGUCAAUUUGGAAGCUUUAUCAUCGAAAACAAAUCGGUAGUAAAACGGCGCGUUUACUACCGAUAGUAUUCUAGCUCAACUCUAUAUAUAUAUAUACAUAUAUAUAUAUA
rnacentral:lncRNA from 1 species